GAGAGAAGCAAAGAAACCACUCUUUCUGAAUUGUCUGCUCGAAGCUAGCCAAUGAGUAACUGAGAAAUGACUACAUACUUCCGUGCUCACAACACUUUUGAGGAACACAAGAAUAGCCAGGAGGUUGAAGUGGAGAAGAUGGAAAAUUCUGGGUGAUGUUUUGGGCGUAGGCCAGUUCUCCUCAACUCUAUCAGAGAUGGGUCUAUCGGCAACUGGCCAGUGUUCCAACUUCUACUGCUGGGGCAGGCCUCACAGCCUGUUCUUCCUGAGAUCUGAGGCUGGUGAAGACACCAAUGGAGAGCAGACCUCGCUGAGGACUUCUCAGGUCUCGCACCAUCUUUUUGAUUAUCACAUCUCCACUUCAGAAAAAUGGAAUCAUAAGAAAGUGCAGCUCCGAGACCAAUUCCCGAGGGCAGAGCCCAGACCCCUACUCCUAUCCCAGAUUACGGUACAACUCCAGCACAGCCGUACAAACCAUCUCUGGUGUCCAGAGCAGCUUGCAUGUGCUCCUGUAAAGUGGGGGCAUGCCGUGAGGAUCCAAGGUCUGUGGUGUCCGCAUCACUUUCCAGGGAAGUAACAAAAGACAUGGCAGACAUGUUCCCCAGGCUGAGUUUAUCUGUAUGCAAUGCCCUUCUUCCUCCUGUGACAAACAGGAUGGUUAAGAUUUUCCUUUAUAAAAUCUGGGUGAUAGAAGAUUAUAGUAUUUUAUAUGCUUUUUUUGUGUGUGUGCCCUUUUGUGCCCUUACCGCCCAGAUAAAAUGUCAGCAAUUCCUCCACUGUUCGAUCUCCACCCCCCCCCCCCCGCCCCGUUUUGUUCAUAGUGUUUGUAAGUCUUGGGAACUGCCAAAUUAGUCACUCCUUAAGACCAUAUGGGGGGGGGGCACAGUUCUAGUCUCUGAACCACCACAGAAAGAGAAGAGACUGCCGUGGAAGAGGCACCUAUUCCCAACUCUGGCCCUAGACAUGCCUGACUACAUGAAGUCCUGAGGAGACACAAGCUUAGGAGACUGACUACAGUCAACCCUGUUUUAUAGACAAAACAAAAAAAUAACAACAACAACAAAAACAGACAGGAAGAAAGGACUUGCAUAAGGUCACUAAAGAGUUAACCAUUCUGAUGUAAGCCCAUGAGCUUUGAUUGCUCCAAACCUCACAGCCAAUACAACCUCAGGCUGCCAGGACUUCUCACUCAGUUGGGGCCAUACCUGCCUGUGGAUAGGGCUGUGCAGAUGGGGCCUGGAGGUAUAACCCCCCAUUCCUACCAUCCACCAUCCGCGCAUACAGUCUGGAGUAAGGACAAUGCCAAGGGCCUCUCACUGUGGAGAAUGACAGAGAUGAGGUUACGAGUGAACACACCUCAGUAUAGCCAGAAAGCACUGCAGGACUUUGAGAUGAGCUUCCCUGAGCAGGUCUUACGUAGGCAGCUACCGUUAGCUGUGCCUGGAAUUUGGCCAUUUAGGUGAGAGGUUUGUUAGGCAAACAGUAGGUGAAAGAGAAAGGCAUUCAUGUAAAUGAGGUUGAAUGGUCAUUAUCGUGAAUGUAUUCAUGUAAAUGAGGAUGAACGAUCAUUAUUGUCAAUGAAUCCUCAAUGGAGGAGGGGUCCUUGGGUCUUCUGCCCUGUGCAUAGGCUAAGACACUUGGCUCCAGACUUCUCAGAAUGUAAUCGCGAUUGGCAACUACCAAGACCCAAGGCUCGAGCACUUAAAAUAGAACAGACACAAGGGAAGGAAUGAGCAAAAGCAAUCUUAAUUCGUCCCAACAAGCUGGCAGGAGCGUCAUCAAGGAAAUAGGAAUAAACUUUCUGGUAUAAAUUCGAAUCGCA
ensembl:lncRNA